UACGGAGGGGCGAGCGUUGUUCGGAAUUACUGGGCGUAAAGCGCACGUAGGCGGCUUUGCAAGUUAGAGGUGAAAGCCCAGGCUCAACCCUGGAAUUGCCUUUAAAACUGCAUCGCUAGAAUUGUGGAGAGGUAAGUGGAAUUCCGAGUGUAGAGGUGAAAUUCGUAGAUAUUCGGAAGAACACCAGUGGCGAAGGCGACUUACUGGACACAUAUUGACGCUGAGGUGGCGAAAGCGUGGGGAGCAACAGGG
rnacentral:rRNA from 1 species